rnacentral:rRNA from 1 species
GGGACACGUGGUAUCCUGUCUGAAUAUGGGGGGACCAUCCUCCAAGGCUAAAUACUCCUGACUGACCGAUAGUGAACCAGUACCGUGAGGGAAAGGCGAAAAGAACCCCGGCGAGGGGAGUGAAAAAGAACCUGAAACCGUGUACGUACAAGCAGUGGGAGCACGCUUAGGCGUGUGACUGCGUACCUUUUGUAUAAUGGGUCAGCGACUUAUAUUCUGUAGCAAGGUUAACCGAAUAGGGGAGCCGAAGGGAAACCGAGUCUUAACUGGGCGUUAAGUUGCAGGGUAUAGACCCGAAACCCGGUGAUCUAGCCAUGGGCAGGUUGAAGGUUGGGUAACACUAACUGGAGGACCGAACCGACUAAUGUUGAAAAAUUAGCGGAUGACUUGUGGCUGGGGGUGAAAGGCCAAUCAAACCGGGAGAUAGCUGGUUCUCCCCGAAAGCUAUUUAGGUAGCGCCUCGUGAAUUCAUCUCCGGGGGUAGAGCACUGUUUCGGCAAGGGGGUCAUCCCGACUUACCAACCCGAUGCAAACUGCGAAUACCGGAGAAUGUUAUCACGGGAGACACACGGCGGGUGCUAACGUCCGUCGUGAAGAGGGAAACAACCCAGACCGCCAGCUAAGGUCCCAAAGUCAUGGUUAAGUGGGAAACGAUGUGGGAAGGCCCAGACAGCCAGGAUGUUGGCUUAGAAGCAGCCAUCAUUUAAAGAAAGCGUAAUAGCUCACUGGUCGAGUCGGCCUGCGCGGAAGAUGUAACGGGGCUAAACCAUGCACCGAAGCUGCGGCAGCGACGCUUAUGCGUUGUUGGGUAGGGGAGCGUUCUGUAAGCCUGCGAAGGUGUGCUGUGAGGCAUGCUGGAGGUAUCAGAAGUGCGAAUGCUGACAUAAGUAACGAUAAAGCGGGUGAAAAGCCCGCUCGCCGGAAGACCAAGGGUUCCUGUCCAACGUUAAUCGGGGCAGGGUGAGUCGACCCC